ACGUAGGGUGCGAGCGUUAAUCGGAAUUACUGGGCGUAAAGCGUGCGCAGGCGGUGAUGUAAGACAGAUGUGAAAUCCCCGGGCUCAACCUGGGAACUGCAUUUGUGACUGCAUCGCUGGAGUACGGCAGAGGGGGAUGGAAUUCCGCGUGUAGCAGUGAAAUGCGUAGAUAUGCGGAGGAACACCGAUGGCGAAGGCAAUCCCCUGGGCCUGUACUGACGCUGAGGAGCGAAAGUGUGGGGAGCGAACAGGA
rnacentral:rRNA from 1 species